rnacentral:rRNA from 1 species
GAAACUGAGGGUAAUGCCAGAUAAUAUCUCCGGAUCAAAGGUGUGAUUCCCCCCUGGGAGGAGACUGCGUACUACUAGCUUGUUGGUGGGGUAAAGGCCUACCAAGGCUACGAUGGUUAGCGGGCGUGAGAGCGUGGCCCGUCACACUGGGACUGAGACACUGCCCAGACACCUACGGGUGGCUGCAGUCGAGAAUCUUCGGCAAUGGACGAAAGUCUGACCGAGCGAUGCCGCGUGCGGGAUGAAGGCCCUCGGGUUGUAAACCGCUGUCAGUUGGGAGGAAGGCUCCGUGAAGAGCGGAGUUUGACCUAUCUUCAGAGGAAGUACGGGCUAAGUUCGUGCCAGCAGCCGCGGUAACACGAACCGUACGAACGUUAUUCGGAAUUAUUGGGCUUAAAGGGUGCGUANGCGGCGUUGUAGGUGGGGUGUGAAAGCCCUCGGCUCAACCGAGGAAUUGCGCCCCAAACCACAGUGCUAGAGAGAGACAGANGUAAGCGGAACUGAUGGUGGAGCGGUGAAAUGCGUUGAUAUUAUCAGGAACACCGGUGGCGGAA